ensembl:snoRNA SNORD30 Small nucleolar RNA SNORD30
UAAGGUGAUGAGCUCACUCUGGAAUCUCGUUCGGCUGAAUGUUGCUGUUGAGACUCGGACUCUGAGGCUU